rnacentral:rRNA from 1 species
AGAACGAACGCUGGCGGCGUGGAUAAGACAUGCAAGUCGAACGGGAAUUUACUGGUAGCAAUAUUAGUGGAUUCUAGUGGCGAAAGGGUGCGUAACACGUAGCUACCUACCUCGAAGUUGGGGAUAGCUCGGCGAAAGCCGGAUUAAUACCGGAUACGACUGCUACGGACAUCUGUGGUGGUGGAAAGAACUUCGGCUAGGGAUGAGCUCGCGGCCUAUCAGCUUGUUGGUGGGGUAACGGCCUACCAAGGCGACGACGGGUA